CCCCUAUUGGCACCCGUCCACCAGGCUGCCUGAAACAAAGUUCAGAAAAAAAUUCCAGAAUGGGAUUUGCGGUGUUUUCCCCUGCUUUCAGCCCUGCAUUUCCUCUUAACAAGUAAAAUCAAAUGGCAGUGAUGUUCCAAAGUCUUCCUGAAUGGCAACAUUAUAAAUAUUCCCUUUAUAAGAAGACUGAAAGAAGUAGUUUAAGCAUUGCAUGCAGCCACUCCAGUAGGAAGUUGUUUAACUUGUCUAAAUCUCUCUUUUGCUGCAGAAGCUCUAUUGAAAAUGACAAAUUGCUUAAAGCAGUUUCCAUGUUAGUCUUUAAAAAAUUCUGCUUCUUUCCAUCCCGAACACGUGGAAGGCAUUUGUGCACUUGACUGAAUGUUUCUCUGUCCUAAGGCUUACACUUAGUGGUUUUUGCCUUCAUGUAAUUUUCACACGCAGCUGCUCGGGUUUGUUUUCGUCAACUUCCCAUUGGAUGGGGAUUUUUUUUUUCCAGUGCGUGAGCUUAGACAUGAAAAGUCAACUAUCUCCCCGGCUCAGACGCUGGGACCACGGGGAAGGCGGAGGAGGAACGCCGCGAGGUUCUCGCUUUUCAGAAGCGCUGUUCUGGGUGUUACGAAAUCCGUAACGCGGGCUGGGAAGCUUGUGUCCACGGCCAGGCUGCUGCGAUGUCCUUUAAAACAGUGAAGCGCUGAGCAGCGUUAAUGCUUCACAAGAUGACAAAAGAGCUUUUCCUUAAUGUUUUCAGUUACUUCCCUUAGCUGCCACUUUCCCAGAAGGAUGCACGUGGGCAGGUACCGUACACAGAGCCAGAGCUGCCUGUAACUGCUGUAGAAGGAAAACUUGCUCAGUUGAAAAGGCCUUUUUUUCUCUUAUUUUAAAGAAAAGAGAAGUUUUGAGUCAUCCAGCGUGCUCAGCUGACUUUGCCCAGAGCCGCGUGCUGUGUAGCCAGCGAGGAUGUGUUACCCAGCCUUGGCUGUGUGGCAGAAGCGGGAGGACCUCAGUGCAGAGGAGAAGCAGGGCUCCUCAGCAAUGCUGACCAAGUGGCAGGCUCUGAAAAUAAAGUGGAAAUGGUGCUUCCGGAGCCUCAGCAGGCUGAUUUGGGGCUCCCUAUGCUCUUCACUUCACCUGGUAUGAGUUGCACCAUCGUAUUAACUUGCAAUUAAUUUGGUUGCAACCAGGUUGCUGCUGGUGUGCUCCCGGCGUGGCUUUGGGCUGUGCCCCAGCCGGUGAAGCCGAGGGAACAAACUGUUCCCCGCCGGCCGGGAGGUUCUUUGCCCCAGGUGGCAUCGGAUGGAGAGAAGUCAGCGUUACCCCACUGCUCGGCUUGAGAAAGCCCUGUUGCUCAAGAGGGAUGCUUGCUGAAUUAGGCAGCGGUCAAGAGGCGAUGUGAGGACAAUCCAGAUGCUUUUUCUAUAACUGGGAGGCAUGUCCCAUCCUGGCACUUCUAUUUAUACCCACUUUUCUUGUAAUAUUAUUAUUUUUUCUCAGUCUGUUAUGAGCCCAUCAUUUUUGGUGAGUUUGGGCUGAUGAGAUACUGACUUCUUAGCAGCUAUUGGUUUUGCUCUGUUUUUUGCUACUUUCUUUGCUGCACAUUUUGCUACUUUUUUUUUUUUUUUUUUUUUGACUCCUGGCUUUGUUUUUCUCCUGGUGUGUUGGCUCAGGAAAUUAACUCGGUGCCGGAAUGCUGCUGCUUUCUUUGCUGUAGGAUGCGUCACUGCACAGUGAGAACCUCCUUUCAGCCUCCAAAAAGCAACGCUUACCAUCUCUGGGGUCGGGAGUCUGUGCAGCAGCCUGCCUUCCUGCAUCUUUCUAGUGCCGUGUAAGCAAGUGUAAAAUCUGUGUAUUAUACCAAUUUACUUUUGGUGGGAUUUGUCCUGACACGUCCAAAGCUUCUGACUCUUGGUGCGUUGUAUGAGCAACUUCUUUAUUAUGGAGCCCUGGGGACAAGACCCGGUUUAAAAUGAAGUUGUGCAGGUAAAAGCAGAAUAUACGCCUGUGGCUGGCAACUGAGCUAACCGAGGUGUUCGUGUUCUGCUCUGCGUUUCGUCUCGAGUGCUGCACUCCCAAUGGCACCGCGUGGCUCCGGUCUGAGCCCCGGCUCAGCCAAGACAGAAGCCGUCUCGCGAGGGCUGCGCCUGGUGUCCAGGAUUUCACAGGAGGAGAGGCCGAUAGCAGCAAUUCCUCAUCUGCCUGCACGAGGAUACUGCCUCAGUUUUCUCGUAUGUGCUGCUUCUACUUAGGUCAGCCAGCUUUUUGAAUUAAAAGAUGCGUAC